rnacentral:rRNA from 1 species
CCUACGGGAGGCAGCAGUGGGGAAUAUUGGACAAUGGGGGGAACCCUGAUCCAGCCAUGCCGCGUGUGUGAAGAAGGCCCUCGGGUUGUAAAGCACUUUCAGUGAGGAAGAACGCCUGGUGGUUAAUACCCAUCAGGAAAGACAUCACUCACAGAAGAAGCACCGGCUAACUCCGUGCCAGCAGCCGCGGUAAUACGGAGGGUGCGAGCGUUAAUCGGAAUUACUGGGCGUAAAGCGCGCGUAGGUGGCUUGAUAAGCCGGUUGUGAAAGCCCCGGGCUCAACCUGGGAACGGCAUCCGGAACUGUCAAGCUAGAGUGCAGGAGAGGAAGGUAGAAUUCCCGGUGUAGCGGUGAAAUGCGUAGAGAUCGGGAGGAAUACCAGUGGCGAAGGCGGCCUUCUGGACUGACACUGACACUGAGGUGCUAAAGCGUGGGUAGCAAACAGGAUUAGAUACCCGUGUAGUC